CCUACGGGGGGCUGCAGUGAGGAAUAUUGGUCAAUGGGCGCGAGCCUGAACCAGCCAAGUAGCGUGAAGGAUGACUGCCCUACGGGUUGUAAACUUCUUUUAUAAAGGAAUAAAGUGAGGCACGUGUGCCUUUUGUAUGUUCUUUAUGAAUAAGGAUCGGCUAAAUUCGCGCCAGCAGCCGCGGUAAUAGGGAGGAUCCGAGCGUUAUCCGGAUUUAUUGGGUUUAAAGGGGGCGUAGAUGGGUUGUUAAGUUAGUUGUGAAAGUUUGCGGCUCAACCGUAAAAUUGCAAUUGAUACUGGCAGUCUUGAGUACAGUUGAGGUAGGCGGAAUUCGUGGUGUAGCGGUGAAAUGCUUAGAUAUCACGAAGAACUCCGAUUGCGAAGGCAGCUUACUAAACUGCCACUGACAUUGAUGCUCGAAAGUGUGGGUAUCAAACAGGAUUAGAUACCCGAGUAGUC
rnacentral:rRNA from 1 species